GAGCUUCGUUGUUACUCAAGAGACCUCACCCAGUUUUGUAACAUAACCUGUCCCAUCAAUCACCGUAUCUCCAAGUGCCAACAGGCUGGACAAGGGCUUGGCUCUGCUUCUCACAACGUGUAAUCCCCAGCGCCAAGUCACCAGGACACAGUAGACUAUUGGGUUCCGCUCAGCCAUAAUUCCAUCAUUACCAUUGAUUUGUUCGCUCACGCUCCCCACGGUGCUUUUAAUCAACUCUCCAUCUUUGUGCCUUCACACCUUUACGCUUUUCAUGAUUGGCUCUGCUACCUUCUGCCUCUGCAAUGAAAUAGUACCAUAGAAAUCCUCCUGCCUCUUACAUACGUUAACAAUUCCAUUUCUUCUCUCUUUGGUCCAGUGAAGGGAUCUCCCUUUCCCACAAAGGCACCACUGUCUCUGCAAAGCACUCUGGUUACUUUAAUCUAUAAUAUCAGCAAUAAUCACUGUGGUAUUGUUGCCUAGGCAUUCUUGAAGAGUCAGAAGUGGACUGUAAUUGAAGAGUUCAUUACCAAGAUCAGUUGGCUCCUUGAUUACAGUGGCAAGGUGAAAUAUAUAUCCUCACCAAAAAGCAACUGCUAAACCUUUAGAGAAGUCACCCACUUUUCACUCUUUUUCAUUAGGACCCCGACAAGCUUGUCAGCAAAAUUAAAGAGGAAUCCGGCUGCAGAUGCACCUGUACAGAGGCACCUAAGCACUGCCUUCUCAAACUGCCAGCUGAGCGUGCCAGGGCUUUCAAGCAAGAGAAGUCUGACAAAGUUGUUGAUCCUUCUUGGACAGCAAAUUUAGAGAGACGGUGCUUCUCUCUGUCUGAGGGUUCACUUCAGACGGUCUCCAUCCUGUGUUGGAAAGCAGAAAGCAGCAAGUGGACCUGGGCUGCAUAAGCACCUGCCAGGCCCUAAACAGUGGUAAAACACUGGCUGCCAUGAACUUCUUGUUAAAAAAAAGAAAGAAGAGAAGGCUGUGGUUUGGAGGCUGCUGGAGCUGCCUGUAGCAGACUGUGAGCUGCUGAUGGCGUGGCUGCUGAAAUCACUACAAGGAUAAUAGGGCACACAUGCAUUUGUGGAUAAUUCUGGUUGCUAAUUGCUCAUGAAAUUUCAGGUAAGGAACAUCCAAU
rnacentral:lncRNA from 1 species